rfam:Streptomyces sp. 4F, complete genome.
UUCGUCCGGCCCGUGGACGCCCCCGACGCCAGGGGGCGGUCCCGGAUACCCUGACGGCGUGCGCCCUGCCGGGGAAGCUCCAACAGGUGGUUUCUUCGGGCAGCCGCAAAGCCGACAGCCGUCGCACCUGAGGGAGCCCCUUUCAUG